rnacentral:rRNA from 1 species
CCAGACUCCUACGGGAGGCGGCAGUGGGGAAUAUUGCACAAUGGGCGCAAGCCUGAUGCAGCCAUGCCGCGUGUGUGAGGAAGGCAUUCGGGUUGUAAAGCACUUUCAGCGGGGAGGAAGGCAAUAAGGUUAAUAACCUUGUUGAUUGACGUUACCCGCAGAAGAAGCACCGGCUAACUCCGUGCCAGCAGCCGCGGUAAUACGGAGGGUGCAAGCGUUAAUCGGAAUUACUGGGCGUAAAGCGCACGCAGGCGGUCUGUCAAGUCGGAUGUGAAAUCCCCGGGCUCAACCUGGGAACUGCAUUCGAAACUGGCAGGCUGGAGUCUUGUAGAGGGGGGUAGAAUUCCAGGUGUAGCGGUGAAAUGCGUAGAGAUCUGGAGGAAUACCGGUGGCGAAGGCGGCCCCCUGGACAAAGACUGACGCUCAGGUGCGAAAGCGUGGGGAGCAAACAGGAUUAGAUACCCGUGUAU